rnacentral:rRNA from 1 species
GGUCAAGUGAAGAAGCGCAUACGGUGGAUGCCUUGGCAGUCAGAGGCGAUGAAAGACGUGGUAGCCUGCGAAAAGCUUCGGGGAGUCGGCAAACAGACUUUGAUCCGGAGAUCUCUGAAUGGGGGAACCCACCUAGGAUAACCUAGGUAUCUUGUACUGAAUCCAUAGGUGCAAGAGGCGAACCAGGGGAACUGAAACAUCUAAGUACCCUGAGGAAAAGAAAUCAACCGAGAUUCCCUUAGUAGUGGCGAGCGAACGGGGAUUAGCCCUUAAGCUUCAUUGAUUUUAGCGGAACGCUCUGGAAAGUGCGGCCAUAGUGGGUGAUAGCCCCGUACGCGAAAGGAUCUUUGAAGUGAAAUCGAGUAGGACGGAGCACGAGAAACUUUGUCUGAACAUGGGGGGACCAUCCUCCAAGGCUAAAUACUACUGACUGACCGAUAGUGAACCAGUACCGUGAGGGAAAGGCGAAAAGAACCCCGGAGAGGGGAGUGAAAUAGAACCUGAAACCGUAUGCGUACAAGCAGUGGGAGCCUACUUGUUAGGUGACUGCGUACCUUUUGUAUAAUGGGUCAGCGACUUAUAUUCAGUGGCAAGCUUAACCGUAUAGGGUAGGCGUAGCGAAAGCGAGUCUUAAUAGGGCGUUUAGUCGCUGGGUAUAGACCCGAAACCGGGCGAUCUAUCCAUGAGCAGGUUGAAGGUUAGGUAACACUGACUGGAGGACCGAACCCACUCCCGUUGAAAAGGUAGGGGAUGACUUGUGGAUCGGAGUGAAAGGCUAAUCAAGCUCGGAGAUAGCUGGUUCUCCUCGAAAGCUAUUUAGGUAGCGCCUCAUGUAUCACUCUGGGGGGUAGAGCACUGUUUCGGCUAGGGGGUCAUCCCGACUUACCAAACCGAUGCAAACUCCGAAUACCCAGAAGUGCCGAGCAUGGGAGACACACGGCGGGUGCUAACGUCCGUCGUGAAAAGGGAAACAACCCAGACCGCCAGCUAAGGUCCCAAAGUUGUGGUUAAGUGGUAAACGAUGUGGGAAGGCUUAGACAGCUAGGAGGUUGGCUUAGAAGCAGCCACCCUUUAAAGAAAGCGUAAUAGCUCACUAGUCGAGUCGGCCUGCGCGGAAGAUGUAACGGGGCUCAAACCACACACCGAAGCUGCGGGUGUCACGUAAGUGACGCGGUAGAGGAGCGUUCUGUAAGCCUGUGAAGGUGAGUUGAGAAGCUUGCUGGAGGUAUCAGAAGUGCGAAUGCUGACAUGAGUAACGACAAUGGGUGUGAAAAACACCCACGCCGAAAGACCAAGGGUUCCUGCGCAACGUUAAUCGACGCAGGGUUAGUCGGUUCCUAAGGCGAGGCUGAAAAGCGUAGUCGAUGGGAAACAGGUUAAUAUUCCUGUACUUCUGGUUACUGCGAUGGAGGGACGGAGAAGGCUAGGCCAGCUUGGCGUUGGUUGUCCAAGUUUAAGGUGGUAGGCUGAAAUCUUAGGUAAAUCCGGGGUUUCAAGGCCGAGAGCUGAUGACGAGUCGUCUUUUAGAUGACGAAGUGGUUGAUGCCAUGCUUCCAAGAAAAGCUUCUAAGCUUCAGGUAACCAGGAACCGUACCCCAAACCGACACAGGUGGUCGGGUAGAGAAUACCAAGGCGCUUGAGAGAACUCGGGUGAAGGAACUAGGCAAAAUGGCACCGUAACUUCGGGAGAAGGUGCGCCGGCUAGGGUGAAGGAUUUACUCCGUAAGCU